rnacentral:lncRNA from 1 species
UUGUCAUUCUCAGAAAAUCUGAUGCACUUCCUGAGUGCCAUUAACUGCAUCUUUUUGUUGCUAAAUUCAACUAGAGAUCCACUCACUGAUUUGAGUUGAGCCUAAUGUGUGCAUUUUUCAGUGACUAUUAAUGCAAAUUUAUAAAUUAAGAAGUUUUAUUGUGCAGGCAUUAAGAAUGAAAGCCUCAGCAAUGCCAUCAAUUACAGCUUCAUAAAUUUAUUUUAUGGUUAUUUGGCUCCUUUGGAGUCUGUCUCUUUGCUUGAAUGGACAAAUUUAAGUUAUAUUCCACAUUUAAAUUAUAUUCAAUUACCCAAACUGAGCCAAAAAAUGCUGUGUGUGUGUGUGUGUUUGUGACACUUUUAAAGCCACUGACUGAGCUCCAAUUGCUUAAGCUCCGCUGCUGCACAGCACAGACAAUGCAUUUAUAUUGUACUUACGGAAUAACAUUAAGUAAAUGAACAAUUUCAGAGCGGAGAUAACAUAAAUUUCGCAUUUCAUAUCAUACAUACUUAUUUUUGCAUUCCGGAGAAAUCGCAGAAUGGGAGAGCGUUGAGCGAGUGGGAGAGUGGAAGAGUGGGAGAGAGUCAUCCAAUCCAUAGGCUUGCACAGCUCGACGACCAAAACGUUGAUUGUGAUUAUCGCCGCCUGCCUGCGAAGGGUCUUAACCCCGCUCGGAGAAUUGACCAGCGCCAUAUGUACAUAGUAAAUACAUUUGUACAUACAUAUUUACAUAUAUGUAUACAUAAUUAUAAUUUUCAAUUUAU